UAAGCUCAAACAGGGGAAGAAAAUAUUUGUCAUCGGUUAGGAUGAACAUAUCAAGGAUAUACUUCCUGGAGGAUCAAAAAAAUGAAUCCGCUGGGGACUCCACUAGAUAAAAUAUGGGUACUUUUGCCGGGUAUCGGACAAGAAGUAGCAAACUGCAAACUAAGAAGAAUAUUACCAUUUACUGGGUAAUAAACUCUUAGGGGACCCAAAGUAUCUAUCUAGGUAAGAGCUAG
rnacentral:lncRNA from 1 species